AAAAACCAUCACCUCUAGCAUUACCAGUAUUAGAGGCACUGCCUGCCCAGUGACAUGCGUUUAACGGCCGCGGUAUCCUGACCGUGCAAAGGUAGCAUAAUCAUUUGUUCCUUAAAUAGGGACUUGUAUGAAUGGCCUCACGAGGGUUAAACUGUCUCUUACUUCCAAUCAGUGAACUUGACCUUCCCGUGAAGAGGCGGGAAUAAUACAAUAAGACGAGAAGACCCUAUGGAGCUUAAAUCUACUUAGCUUAAGCAUUUUCUAUUAUUUCUCCCUAAUAGGGACUAAUAAAUCUGCCUUGAUUAAGCUUAAGAUUUUGGUUGGGGUGACCUCGGAGCAUAAACUAACCUCCGAAUGAUUUUAGCCUAGACUCGACCAGUCAAAGCAUCUACUCAUUAAUUGACCCAAACUUAUUGAUCAACGGAACAAGUUACCCUAGGGAUAACAGCGCAAUCCUACUCAAGAGUCCUUAUCGACAGUAGGGUUUACGACCUCGAUGUUGGAUCAGGACAUCCAAGUGGUGUAACCGCUACUAAUGGUUCGUUUGUUCAACGAUUAA
rnacentral:rRNA from 1 species